AACGUAAUUAUUGACAAAGUGGAAACUAGAACACUUGAGAAGUUGUAGCUUUUUUUAUGCAUUAAUAUUUUCUUACAUGUUCCUUAAUAUAUAUCCAGAGUUAUAAGCUGAAUCAGAUAUGCCUUUCAAUACCCUUUUAAUGUCUCAAAGAGAAAGCCAUAAACAUGCAUUUGCUUUAUGUUUCUCAACUAUUUCAAUUGAGUCAUCACUGUAGGAAGUGGUUCAUGAUUUUAUACAGGAGAGGUAUUGUGAGCAUUUAUAAAGCCAUCCUGCUUAUGAGCCAAAUUUAUUAUGUUUGCUAGGUUAAUCUGUUUUCUCUAAUCAAACACUUAAUCAUCCAGUCUCUCUGCGUUAUGGAUUCAUGAAUGUGAAGUGAGGAGAGUUGCUCAGUCAAGGUUUUUCACGUACUGCACAUCCAAGCUAGGUAAUGUCUCUGCAACUGCUGCUUCCUGAUGAUUAUAUUCAUCUGAAAUGACUAAGCUUGGUAAAUUAGGCUAAGUCAAGUCUGUGGAGCAGUCAAGGGACGAAUGAAGAAAAGAAUGUAAUGGAGGCUACACCAGAGACGUGGGAAUCUAUCAGCAUGUGGCAAGGAAGGAAGAACAUGGCUAUGUCUUCUAUAUAAAGAGUUGCCUGCAUUCUUCUCAGAAAAAAAAAAGACAAUGGAAAGGCAAUGAGUCAUGAGUCUUGAGUUCUAAGCCUGGUUCUACCAUUUGCUAGCUGUAUGAUAAGAAGCAUGUUUGUUAAACCUCUGAGCCUCAGCUUAUACAUAUACGAAACAGGAAAAAUAGUAACAUAGCCUGCCAUCUUCACGGAUUUGUGAAAAGGUCUUUUAAAUAUCCAAAAAGCUUAGUAUGUAUAAGAAAGAUUAAAUUUAAGCUAUGGGUAUGACACAAAAAUAUACUUGAAAAUUAUUCUUAAAUUUCACCAUAUUUAG
rnacentral:lncRNA from 1 species